CGGGUGAGUAAUAUAUCGGAACGUGCCCGGUCGUGGGGGAUAACGUAGUCGAAAGCUACGCUAAUACCGCAUACGAUCUACGGAUGAAAGCGGGGGAUCGCAAGACCUCGCGCGAUUGGAGCGGCCGAUAUCAGAUUAGGUAGUUGGUGAGGUAAAGGCUCACCAAGCCGACGAUCUGUAGCUGGUCUGAGAGGACGACCAGCCACACUGGGACUGAGACACGGCCCAGACUCCUACGGGAGGCAGCAGUGGGGAAUUUUGGACAAUGGGCGCAAGCCUGAUCCAGCAAUGCCGCGUGCAGGAUGAAGGCCUUCGGGUUGUAAACUGCUUUGUACGGAACGAAACGGUGAGCUCUAAUACAGUUUGCUAAUGACGGUACCGUAAGAAUAAGCACCGGCUAACUACGUG
rnacentral:rRNA from 1 species